CUUCUCUCACUCUCACCAGUUUCCUCCACCACUACUCAGUACUCACCAUCGAACCACCUCCAUCACCACCUCUCCGUCGAGAGAACUACCACCUCUAAAAGACUGAGAGGAGCAGCAGGAGUUCUUCAUCUGUAUAGUUGCGUUAAGACUUUGAGGAGCAGGGGACUGCCACCGGAUACAGCUGUGUUGUCAGAGAAGUCGAUACCAAUGAUGGGAAGAUUAAAGUUGUAGUUGUUGUUGCUGCUUCCUUUGAACCUGAAACGAUACAGGUGCAUGAACUCGAAGGGCUGUGCUAGUUGGGAGCAAGCUGUCAAACACGGGCUUAAGCGCAUCAAGAUAACUUGUUAUUGUACUUCAGCAAUUUAUCAAGUUAAAAAGGAUUAGUCGUGAAGAGAAAAAUAAGAAAGAAUAAUAAGUACUCAAGGCACAUGAAGGAUUUGAUUAAUCGUAUUAUUAGACUAUAUUCAGAAAUAGACUAUUCUGAGAUAAGGCAUAUGUAUUGAGGUGCCAAAGAGGUGGACAACAGAUUCUAUACAUAUGCACUAUCUCAGAAUAGUCUACUUCUAAAUCUAGUCUAAUUCAUGUGAUUUGAGUAUUUAUUGUUAUUUCCUAUUUUUUUUUUCUUCACGACUAAUCCCUUUUUGAUUUGAUAAAUUGCUGAAGUACAAUCGCUAGUUACCUUGAUGCGCUUAAGCCCGUGUUUGACUGCUUGCUUCCAACCACAGCACAGCCCUUCGAGUUCAUGCACCUGUGUCGUUUCACAUAAGAUUUUGAAAGGAAUGGGGAACUGGUACAUUUAGGGGGAUUUCUCAUAACUGAUGCGGAUGGCACACCCUACAAUCCAGAAGGAAUUUGAUUUUGAAUCUGCUCAUACUCAAAUAGAACCAGCUACAAACUUGCAAGAAUGAGUCUGAUUCACAGAAACCUCUGGGUUGUCAACUGUAAUAGUCUGUAAAUAGUAAUCACUAACUCUCUUUUUGUGAAACCCCUUUCUGGGUUCUAGCUUAUAGAUCGUGGUUUCUCUUCGGGGGUGAUUUCCUCGUGGUCCACAAAAAUGCUACAUUGAGACUAGAUUUCAAAGCACAAUUCUGUUGAAUCCAAAAAUCUUUUUAACUAUAAUCCUUUGGAAAUUUUAAACUGGUGAUAUAAUCUCUUU